UACAGAGGGUGCGAGCGUUAAUCGGAAUUACUGGGCGUAAAGCGCGCGUAGGCGGCUUUGCAAGUCGGGUGUGAAAUCCCCAGGCUUAACCUGGGAACUGCAUUCGAGACUGCAUUGCUAGAGUAUGGGAGAGGGAAGUGGAAUUUCCGGUGUAGCGGUGAAAUGCGUAGAGAUCGGGAAGAACAUCGGUGGCGAAAGCGCUCUACUGGACCGCAACUGACACUCAGGGACGAAAGCUAGGGGAGCGAAUGGG
rnacentral:rRNA from 1 species